AGAGAGAGACAUGCGCCGCAUAUCAAUAAGCGGAGGAAAAGAAACUAACAAGGAUUCCCUUAGUAACGGCGAGUGAAGCGGGAAGAGCUCAAAUUUGAAAUCUUCAAGGUUUUACCUUGACGAAUUGUAGUUUAAAGAAGUGUUUUCUGCUGAAGUUUUGGUAAAAGUUCUUUGGAAUAGGACAUCAUAGAGGGUGAGAAUCCCGUAUUUGACCAUUAUUUUCAGCUUUGUGAUACACUUUCAAAGAGUCGGAUUGUUUGGGAAUGCAGUCCAAAAUGGGUGGUAAAUUUCAUCUAAAGCUAAAUAUUGGCGAGAGACCGAUAGCGAACAAGUACCGUGAGGGAAAGAUGAAAAGAACUUUGAAAAGAGAGUUAAACAGUACGUGAAAUUGUCAAAAGGGGAGCGUUUGACACCAGUGUUGUUUUCUCGAAAAUCAAUUAAAAAUGGCUCGAUUUUGUAUUGCUUGAGACCUUAAAAGCUCACUGUACAUUUUUCGUGUCUUUUUUAAUGCACUUUUCGUUUAACAAGUCAACAUCAGUUUCUUUUGUUGUAAAAGGGUCAUUGGAAGGUGGCUUUCUUUUCGGAGAAAGUGUUUAUAGCCUUUGGCCUCUGCAAUCGGAGAGACUGAGGUCUGCAGCGUAGACUCUUCGGGGUUAGAUACAUUUGUGCUAAGUUAUAGCUUUUUAUAGACAACUUGUUGACUAUAAUUAGUCUUGUAGCUUACUCGCUUAUGCUAUUUUACCUACGCUUAGGAUGUUGAAGAUGUAGCACAUCAU
rnacentral:rRNA from 1 species